rnacentral:rRNA from 1 species
UACGUAGGGUGCGAGCGUUAAUCGGAAUUACUGGGCGUAAAGCGUGCGCAGGCGGUUUUGUAAGCCAGAUGUGAAAGCCCCGGGCUUAACCUGGGAAUGGCAUUUGGGACUGCAAGGCUUGAGUGCGGCAGAGGAGACUGGAAUUCCCGGUGUAGCGGUGAAAUGCGUAGAUAUCUGGAGGAACACCGGUGGCGAAGGCGGCAUCCUGGACCAACACUGACGCUGAGGAGCGAAAGCCAGGGGAGCAAACGGG